AUUGAACGCUGGCGGCAGGCUUAACACAUGCAAGUCGAGCGGAGAUGAGGUGCUUGCACCUUAUCUUAGCGGCGGACGGGUGAGUAAUGCUUAGGAAUCUGCCAUUUAGUGGGGGACAACAUUCCGAAAGGAACGCUAAUACCGCAUACGUCCUACGGGAGAAAGCAGGGGAUCUUCGGACCUUGCGCUAAAUGAUGAGCCUAAGUCGGAUUAGCUAGUUGGUGGGGUAAAGGCCUACCAAGGCGACGAUCUGUAGCGGGUCUGAGAGGAUGAUCCGCCACACUGGGACUGAGACACGGCCCAGACUCCUACGGGAGGCAGCAGUGGGGAAUAUUGGACAAUGGGCGGAAGCCUGAUCCAGCCAUGCCGCGUGUGUGAAGAAGGCCUUUUGGUUGUAAAGCACUUUAAGCGAGGAGGAGGCUACUGAGACUAAUACUCUUGGAUAGUGGACGUUACUCGCAGAAUAAGCACCGGCUAACUCUGUGCCAGCAGCCGCCGCAGUAA
rnacentral:rRNA from 1 species